GCUUGAUGAUGAUGCCUUUGGGGCUGAGCAAAUUGUAGUUGGUCCUUCAUUUGCACCACUGAUGGAAUCUUGUUUCAAGACGGGACUGAGAGCAGC
ensembl:snoRNA SNORD21 Small nucleolar RNA SNORD21